rnacentral:rRNA from 1 species
GCUAGUUGGCGGGGUAAGAGCCCACCAAGGCGACGAUCCAUAGCUGGUCUGAGAGGACGACCAGCCACACUGGGACUGAGACACGGCCCAGACUCCUACGGGAGGCAGCAGUGGGGAAUAUUGGACAAUGGGCGGAAGCCUGAUCCAGCAAUGCCGCGUGUGUGAAGAAGGCCCGAGGGUUGUAAAGCACUUUCAAUGGGGAGGAAAAAGCUAAGGUUAACACCCUUAUAAUUGACAUUACCCAUACAAGAAGCACCGGCUAACUCCGUGCCAGCAGCCGCGGUAAUACGGAGGGUGCGAGCGUUAAUCGGAAUUACUGGGCGUAAAGCGUCCGUAGGCGGCGCGUUAAGCCAGGUGUGAAAGCCCCGGGCUCAACCUGGGAACUGCACUUGGGACUGGCGUGCUAGAGUUUGGGAGAGGGGAGCGGAAUUCCGGGUGUAGCGGUGAAAUGCGUAGAUAUCCGGAGGAACACCAGUGGCGAAGGCGGCUCCCUGGCCCAAAACUGACGCUGAGGCACGAAAGCGUGGGUAGCAAACAGGAUUAGAUACCCUGGUAGUCCACGCCGUAAACGAUGCCGACUAGCCGUUGGGCCCUUAUAGGGUUUAGUGGCGCAGCCAACGCAAUAAGUCGGCCGC